rnacentral:rRNA from 1 species
CCAAUAGCGUAUAUUAAAGUUGUUGCAGUUAAAAAGCUCGUAGUUGAACUUCGGGGUUUACCCAUUGGUCAGGCUUAAUUGUCUGUACUGGUGAGAUAAAUCUCUACCUUCUGAGGAACUUUCAUGUCAUUAAUUUGGUGUGAUUGGAAAUCAGGACUGUUACUUUGAAAAAAUUAGAGUGUUUAAAGCAGGCUAACGUCUGAAUACAUUAGCAUGGAAUAAUGAAAUAGGACGGAUUGAUUCUAUUUCGUUGGUUUCUAGGAUCACCGUAAUGAUUAAUAGUGAUAGUUGGGGGUAUUAGUAUUCAAUUGUCAGAGGUGAAAUUCUUGGAUUUAUUGAAGACUAACUACUGCGAAAGCAUUUGCCAAGGAUGUUUUCAUUAAUCAAGAACGAAAGUUAGGGGAUCGAAGACGAUCAGAUACCGUCGUAGUCUUAACCAUAAACUAUGCCGACUAGGGAUCGGACGAAGUUAAUUUUAUAAUGACGCGUUCGGCACCUUACG